rnacentral:rRNA from 1 species
AGUGAACGCUGGCGGUAGGCCUAACACGUGCAAGUCGAACGGCAGCACAGAGGAGCUUGCUCCUUGGGUGGCGAGUGGCGGACGUGUGAGGAAUACAUCGGAAUCUACUCUGUCGUGGGGGAUAACGUAGGGAAACUUACGCUAAUACCGCAUACGACCUACGGUUGAAAGCAGGGGAUCUUCGGACCUUGCGCGAUUGAAUGAGCCGAUGUCGGAUUAGCUAGUUGGCGGGGUAAAGGCCCACCAAGGCGACGAUCCGUAGCUGGUCUGAGAGGAUGAUCAGCCACACCGGAACUGAGACACGGUCCAGACUCCUACGGGAGGCAGCAGUGGGGAAUAUUGGACAAUGGGCGCAAGCCUGAUCCAGCCAUACCGCGUGGGUGAAGAAGGCCUUCGGGUUGUAAAGCCCUUUUGUUGGGAAAGAAAUCCAUCUGGUUAAUACCCGGGUGGGAUGACGGUACCCAAAGAAUAAGCACCGGCUAACUUCGUGCCAGCCGCCGCUGUAA